rnacentral:lncRNA from 1 species
GAAAAUUUUAUCCAACAAGUACAUAGAAAUCCUAGCAAAAGUCUAUAUACAAAUAGUAAAAAUAAAAAUAAAAAUUCUUCACUAUAAUUUUGGAUUGGAUGGCACAUAUAAUUUUAUUGCCACAAAUAUUGAUCACUUGAAGACUUUAUGGGUUGAUGUGGCUCAUCUCCAUCAUGUUAUAUCAUCCAUCGCAGAUGGCCACCACCACCAACAUUGAAAAGAAGAUGAGAGGAGAGGAGGAGGAAGAGGAAUUGUUAUCUGUUGGUGGCAGAUAUCGACGUUGCCAUCCCCAACUUGCUUGAAUUAUUGAUUCCCAGACAGACGUCCAUUCCCACAUGCAUUUCUUCACUGGACCAAAAAAAAAAAAGGAAAGGAGGAAGAUGACAACAAGCAGCAACAAAAAAUGAGAAAGAAAACACCAAAAAAAAAAAAAAAACUUUUAAGUUUAUCUAAAGAAAUAAAAACACAAAAAGAAAUGAACUCUUUAUGCUUUUAUAUGUUACAUAUUUUCAUUACGUACAUACAUACAUACAUACAUACAUACAUAGUAAUCAGUGAUAAUUAUAACAUCAUAAUGAAUCGGAACGAUCAAUUCCAAGCACAACAACUCAUUUUUCUUAUUUAGUUUCAAAUACUUUGAUCAUUUACAAAUGUUAAUAUUAUUGUCAUCGUGAUUCCAAGUACGAAAAAGACCAUAAGAAGAGGCCAAGGAUUCGUCUAACUUAGCAUCCAAACAACAAUCGACGAUGGAUGGAUGAUACAAGGACACAUCUUGGAACUAACUAUUGAUUUCAUGUUUCUAAUAUUGAAAUUGUUGUAGCUGCUGCUGAUGAUGAUGUAUCUAUCUAUCACGAGUACUAUGGAUUUACUAUCGAAAAGAAAAAUAUCAUAUAACAUAUGAUGUUCAAAAGAAAAAGGAAACGAUUGUCCAUUCGAUCGUGCUUUGUGACGUCGAAUGUGGUGUGAGAUCUGAAUCAUUUUAUAUAUGUACAAUAUAUAUACGUGAAUGAUUUGUCCCUUCCCUCAAACCAUUGUUUAUUCUCAUGUCUGUUCCCAUCCAAAUAUACUAACAUCGGUUUGUGGUCAUCUCCCACCUAAACCAAUAUCCUACACGCCCUAAAAGUCAGUCACACCCGUUCAGUAUCCGACAACAUCAGAUACGUUUGCAAUUUGGAGCCUUAAAUUAUGCAUCGCCAUAAUUAUUUAUCGCUACGUAUUUCCAUCUUUUACAAUUAAUUACCAGCUGAAUCCUUUGUCGAGUAGAUUAAACACGUUAACCAAUUUGGAGACUUUAAAUUACGAAUAGCCAAACAAUUAUUUUGAUGAGGUCUCUAUUUUUUGGAAAUUACCGUUGAAGAUUUUGGUUAUAAUGGCAAAUAAAUAAAUAAUGACCGCCAUAUUUGGAAUAUUCACAGAAAAUUAGAUGACGUCCUUCUUGACGUCGCCGUUAGCUGUGUGUGAUCCAUAUAAAGUCCCAUGAAAGCCGCCGUUAUCUCUAUAUAAAGUCCCCCACCCCAUCCCCCUAAAACUCUUUAAUAAAGACGAGCGAAGCAACCAUAGGAUACGAUACGUACCACGACAUGAUGAUGAUAGCUUAUCUCGAGCGGCAGCAGCAGCAGCAGCAGCGACUCGUCCCCGACGGCGAUGUCGAGCUCGACCCCGAC